GUUGUUUAGCACAUCUAAAGAUAAAAAUAACAUGGCUUUAUUGCUUACAAAUAAUGUCCAUAGAAAAGAAGAUAACUCAAUUAUGGAUCAGAAUGGCCUCGUCCAAUCUGUUUUAUUCUCAUAAAAAUAGAGAAAGCCAAGAGAAAAUACUUUUCAGCAAAGAAAAAUGAUUGAUUACAUCAUUUAGGAUUAUCACCCUCAUUCUCAAACCAUUGAAACCGGCUAUUGAAGGUUUCCGGCAAAUUCUUAUCUCCGGCAACUCUCCGGUCGUCUUCUCCGACAAGCCGCCGGCAAAAAUGAGUUUUUCCGGCGGACUUUUCUCGACUGCCAUCCAAGCGGCAUCCACCGCCAGUGUUGCUGCUUAGCUUUCUCCACCCUCCCCUCUCUCCCUCUUGUCGAUUUGAUGCCAGAAAAAGGUAGAAGGGACGCAGGCAGCAAGCCACCUGCCAUCACCAGAACCCACCUGCGACCUCCCUUUUGUCGCCGGUAAACCACCAUUACCACCUCCUGCUGCUUGCUGCUGCUAUAAGUCAUCAAGCCAAGACCCAAGGACCCGUCGAAAAUUUCAUUUUUGUCGGAGGCUCGCCGGAGAAGACGACCGGAAAGUCGCCGAAGAUAAGAAAUUGUCAGAAACCUUCAUUAGUCAGUUUCAAUGGUUUCUGUAUGGUAAAUGAGAUACAAAAAAAAAAAAAAAAUGACCAAUUGAAUACAAAGACAACAAUUAAUUACCCUAAUAAAUCAUUUCUAUUUCCCUUUCGACUUA